rnacentral:rRNA from 1 species
UACGUAGGUGACAAGCGUUGUCCGGAUUUACUGGGCGUAAAGAGCGCGCAGGCGGUCGAUCAAGUCGAGUGUGAAAGCCCCCGGCUCAACUGGGGAGGGUCAUUCGAUACUGAUCGACUCGAAGGCGGGAGAGGGUAGUGGAAUUCCCGGUGUAGUGGUGAAAUGCGCAGAUAUCGGGAGGAACACCAGUAGCGAAGGCGGCACUCUGGGCCGGAACUGACGCUGAGGAGCGAAAGCGUGGGGAGCGAACAGG